GGUAUCGGUGCUUGCACCGAUAACCAAGUGGCGAACGGGUGAGUAACACGUGGGAACCUACCCUAAGGUAGGGGAUAACCAUUGGAAACGAUGGCUAAUACCUUAUAGUCCUGAGAGGGUAAAGAUUUAUCGCCUUAGGAUGGGCCCGCGGUUGAUUAGCUAGUUGGUGGGGUAAUGGCCUACCAAGGCAACGAUCAAUAGCUGUUUUGAGAGGAAGAUC
rnacentral:rRNA from 1 species